UACGGAGGGGGUUAGCGUUGUUCGGAAUGACUGGGCGUAAAGCGCGCGUAGGCGGAUCAUCAAGUCGGGGGUGAAAUCCCGGGGCUCAACCCCGGAAUGGCCUUCGAGACUGGUGGUCUUGAGUUCGAGAGAGGUGAGUGGAAUUCCGAGUGUAGAGGUGAAAUUCGUAGAUAUUCGGAGGAACACUAGUGGCGAAGGCGGCUCACUGGCUCGACA
rnacentral:rRNA from 1 species